UACGAAGGGGGCUAGCGUUGCUCGGAAUUACUGGGCGUAAAGGGCGCGUAGGCGGAUAGUUUAGUCAGAGGUGAAAGCCCAGGGCUCAACCUUGGAAUUGCCUUUGAUACUGGCUAUCUUGAGUUCGGGAGAGGUGAGUGGAAUGCCGAGUGUAGAGGUGAAAUUCGUAGAUAUUCGGAAGAACACCAGUGGCGAAGGCGGCUCACUGGACUGGUAUUGACGCUGAGGUGCGAAAGCGUGGGAGCAAACAGG
rnacentral:rRNA from 1 species